rnacentral:misc_RNA from 1 species
CCCAAAUAUACACAAAUCCAUAGGAGUUUAGUAUUUUUAUUGCCAUGCGCAAAAUAAUGCGCAAAAGGGUGAAUUGAGCGCGAAAUCCAACAUGGACGUCGGCGAGCUUUUGUCCUUUCAGCCAGAAAAACCUGCGCUGGGUACUCUGAAACGUAAAAAUGAGGAUGAAGAUCGAGGAAGAGCGAAGUCGAGAAAAAAACAGCCUGUGAUAACCAACCAAUCAACGCCAAGAAUUUCAGAAGAUGAGCGAGAAAAAAUUCUGAAGAUGGUCGAAGAGGAACCAGAGGCCCCUCCCAUGGAUGAGACAACUUUGAAGAAGAUAAUUCUACAGUUUGAGAAGAAAGCCUACAAGAACCAGGAGAUGAGAAUAAAGUUCCCAGAUCUUCCUGAAAAGUUUAUGGAGUCGGAACUCGAGAUGAAUGACAUGAUUCAUGAGAUGCAUGUAAUAGCCACCGCCCCAGACUUGUACUACAUCUUAGUAGAAAUGAAUGCUAUCCAGUCACUACUACAGCUACUUUCACAUGAAAAUACAGAUAUAAGCAUAGCAGUGGUAGAUCUUCUCCAGGAACUCACAGACGUCGACACAUUAAAUGAAAGUGAGGAGGGUGCCGAAGCUUUAGUUGAUGCCCUGCUUGAAGGACAAAUUGUUGCAGUAUUAGUUCAAAAUCUGGAAAGGUUAGAUGAAUCAAAUAAAGAAGAAUCUGAGGGUGUACACAAUACAUUAGGAAUUAUAGAAAAUAUCACAGAGUUCAGACCAGAGGUGUGUCCUGAUGCCGCUAAGCAAGGACUGAUGCAAUGGUUAUUAAAAAGAUUAAAGGCAAAAAUUCCAUUUGAAGGCAAUAAGUUAUACUGCAGUGAGAUUUUAGCUAUUCUUUUACAGAAUCAUGAUGAAAAUCAGGAACUUUUAGGAGAGAUGGAUGGCAUUGAUGUUUUACUUCAGCAGCUAGCGGUUUACAAAAGGCAUGACCCAAGCAGUGGAGAGGAGGGAGAGUACAUGGAAAACCUUUUCAACAGUCUGUGUGCGGCGCUCAUGCUGCCCUCCAAUAGGGACAGGUUUCUCAAAGGUGAAGGACUGCAGCUGAUGAACCUCAUGUUAAGAGAGAAGAAAAUGUCCAGAAACAGUGCCAUUAAGGUCCUAGAUCAUGCUAUGACGGGGCAGGAAGGGGGGGACAACUGCCAAAAAUUUAUAGAUAUUCUAGGACUGCGGAGUAUUUUCCCAGUUUUCAUGAAGACUCCAAAGGCAAACAAGAGAGGCCCGGGACCUGAGGAAUUAGAAGAACACAUCUGUUCCAUAAUUGGUUCCUUACUGAAGAACUGCACCGGAACCCAGCGCCAGAGGCUACUCAACAAAUUUACAGAAAAUGACCAUGAAAAAGUUGAUAGGUUAAUGGAACUCCACUUUAAGUACCUGGAAAAAGUGCGACAAGUGGACCUGCAGAUUGAGAAAGAGAAAAAUGAUCUGAAGUUCUUUGGUGGUGAUAUUGAUGAUGAUAUGGAGGAUCAGUUUUACCUGAGACGUUUAGAUGCUGGACUCUUUACACUGCAACUGGUUGAUUUUAUCAUGCUGGAAAUAUGUGUUACUGGAGUGCCAUCUGUAAAGCAGCGUGUCAUGCAGAUAUUGAACUUACGAGGAGGAUCAGUGAAGACCAUUAAAAGUGUUAUGAGGGAGUAUGCAGGAAACAUUGGGGAUGCAAAGAAUCCUGAAGCCAAAGAAGCAGAGCAGUCCAAAAUUCUCGAUCUGGUCAGCAAAUUUUGAAGGGAAGAAAACAACAUGUAAAGAGGAUAUGUGAAUUUCAACAUAAGUGAAGGGGAUUAUAUAUGUGAAAGUGCGGUUCAAGAUCAUAGCCACGAGGUCGUCAGGCGUGUGUGCAUGGAAAAUGUUGGAGUGCGGG